GUUGAUCUUCGUCUAGUGGAGAGGAUACCGGCGAGCGAAGCUGGAGACAUGGGUUCGAAUCCCGUAGAUCAACACUU
rnacentral:tRNA from 1 species